rnacentral:lncRNA from 1 species
AGAAAAUAAAGACGCUCGGAAGGAGGAAGUGUAGGAUAUCUAGAAAAUAAAGACUCUCGGAAGGAGGAAGUGUAGGAUAUCUAGAAAAUAAAGACGCUCGGAAGGAGAAAGUGUAGGAUAUCUAGAAAAUAAAGACGCUCAGAAGGAGGAAGUGUAGGAUAUCUAGAAAAUAAAGACGCUCGGAAGGAGAAAGUGUAGGAUAUCUAGAAAAUAAAGACGCUCAGAUUUGAAAAUCAGAGGUUUUCCUAACAGCCUAAUCGAGGUGUUUUACAAGGCUACAUGUAAAUCCUUCUGCUGACCUUAACUAGUUGCUUAUCAACAGGGACGGCAGCGUAGCCUAGUGGUUAGUUUAGCGCGUUGGACUAGUAACCGAAAGGUUGCAAGAUCGAAUCCCCGAGCUGACAAGGUACAAAUCUGUCGUUCUGCCCCCUGAACAAGGCAGUUAACCCACUGUUCCCCGGUAGACCGUCAUUGUAAAUAAUAAGAAUUUGUUCUUAACUGACUUGCCUGGUUAAAGGUUAAACAAACAUUUAAAACAGAGAAUGACUAUCCAAACUAAGCGAGACCAGGAUUUAUCUUAACGCCGCUCCGUGCAGCCAUCGGAUAAACCCCAGGAGCCCCUCUGGACGGCUCUUAUUAACGCCGCUCCUCCGCUGUCAAAACGUCAGCUGAAAACCCCCAUCUGAUUGGAUCUACAGUAACUAGACCUUCCCUGAGCGAGACGCCGAACACAUUGACUUACCAACAUCCUGGUUACUAACGGGAGGCUGGGGGAUUCAAUCCAAUUACAGGUGGUUACUAACGGGGAGGCUGGGGGAUUCAAUCCAAUUACAGGUGGUUACUAACGGGGAGGCUGGGGGAUUCAAUCCAAUUACAGGUGGUUACUAACGGGGAGGCUGGGGGAUUCAAUCCAAUUACAGGUGGUUACUAACGGGGAGGCUGGGGGAUUCAAUCAAAUUACAGGUGGUUACUAACGGGGAGGCUGGGGGAUUCAAUCCAAUUACAGGUGGUUACUAACGGGGAGGCUGGGGGAUUCAAUCCAAUUACAGGUGGUUACUAACGGGGAGGCUGGGGGAUUCAAUCCAAUUACAGGUGGUUACUAACGGGGAGGCUGGGGGAUUCAAUCCAAUUACGGGUGGUUACUAACGGGGAGGCUGGGGGAUUCAAUCCA